UAAAAUUUAGUUUAAUAAAAAUUUUUUAUUUACAUUAAAAGGAUUUAAUUAAUUUUAAAAUUUUAA
rnacentral:tRNA from 1 species